rnacentral:miRNA from 1 species
UGCAGGUCUUGAUUGGAAGGCU